rnacentral:rRNA from 1 species
GACGAACGCUGGCGGCGUGCUUAACACAUGCAAGUCGAACGCUGAAGCUUGGUGCUUGCACUGGGUGGAUGAGUGGCGAACGGGUGAGUAAUACGUGAGUAACCUGCCCUUGACUCUGGGAUAAGCCUGGGAAACUGGGUCUAAUACUGGAUACGACAUGCCACUGCAUGGUGGUGUGUGGAAAGGGUUUUACUGGUUUUGGAUGGGCUCACGGCCUAUCAGCUUGUUGGUGGGGUAAUGGCCUACCAAGGCGACGACGGGUAGCCGGCCUGAGAGGGUGACCGGCCACACUGGGACUGAGACACGGCCCAGACUCCUACGGGAGGCAGCAGUGGGGAAUAUUGCACAAUGGGCGGAAGCCUGAUGCAGCGACGCCGCGUGAGGGAUGACGGCCUUCGGGUUGUAAACCUCUUUCAGCACGGAAGAAGCGAGAGUGACGGUACGUGCAGAAGAAGCGCCGGCUAACUACGCG